CACAACCCAUUCUCAUAUAACCUGGCCCGAUGCACACAAUAAUUGCACUAUAACCUUUAAUCAGAAAAAGCGCGUUAUUGGAGAUUCAGCUCAGCCGACGGGAUAAUCAAUCAAUUGAGCUACUGAAUUAGAGCGCAGCGAUCGGGUUUUCAAUGAAUGAGCUAGUGGAGAUGGAUUACUUGACGAUGUGAAACCCCAAGCGAUUGGACAUGAACGGACUAAAGAAUUGAAUUUUCAAGUAAAGUGGAGGGGGAUUGGAUAUUGAGUGAAUCUUCAACAACAAACUGGCUCCUGAAGGAUGAGGAAUCUUACUAGUAUCCCAUGUAGUUUUGCAGUCUAUGAUAUUCAAAGGUUGAGUUGUCUAUCUUGGUAUAAAAAGAAAACAUAUAUGCGCACAUGUGAAUAUUGCUUGGAAGUGUUGAACCAUUUUCGGAAGAGACUGGUAGGGAUGCAAUUCUUCUACCAUCGAUGAUAAAGAAGUUGAGGGGAAGACUUAAAAAACAGAAGAGAAGGGUAGGAUGGGAAGGUGCAGGGGAAGGACAAAUUUACAAGAAUGAAUAGGCUGGGAAGGGUCAUGCAUUAUGCCCUUUGUAGAGAGAAGUGACAUAUUAAAGGGAACUAUCCUAAUACGCUAAAAAACUAUGUUGAAAAAGCUAAGCAAAUGAGGGGUACAAAAAGAAAAGUUACAAAUGAAGAUAAUUUGGAAGUUGAAACGGAGUUGGAAAGAAAUGAAGAAGAGGCCCUGAAUGGGAAAGUUGAAACGAUGGAGGAAGCUUUGAGAAUGAAUGCAGAAGAGAUACUCACACCAUCCCCACCAGCCAGUCAACAACCAACACAUAUACAAAUAUUUAAGGACCCAAUCAUUUAUUAUUUACAUGUGUCGUAUAAUUGUAUAUCAUUAACAUUUCUUUCAAAAUAUUUUUAUGUUAGA